rnacentral:rRNA from 1 species
GAGUGGCGAACGGGUGAGUAACACGUGGGUAACCUGCCCAUCAGAAGGGGAUAACACUUGGAAACAGGUGCUAAUACCGUAUAACAAUCGAAACCGCAUGGUUUUGAUUUGAAAGGCGCUUUCGGGUGUCGCUGAUGGAUGGACCCGCGGUGCAUUAGCUAGUUGGUGAGGUAACGGCUCACCAAGGCCACGAUGCAUAGCCGACCUGAGAGGGUGAUCGGCCACAUUGGGACUGAGACACGGCCCAAACUCCUACGGGAGGCAGCAGUAGGGAAUCUUCGGCAAUGGACGAAAGUCUGACCGAGCAACGCCGCGUGAGUGAAGAAGGUUUUCGGAUCGUAAAACUCUGUUGUUAGAGAAGAACAAGGAUGAGAGUAACUGUUCAUCCCUUGACGGUAUCUAACCAGAAAGCCACGGCUAACUACGUGCCAGCAGCCGCGGUAAUACGUAGGUGGCAAGCGUUGUCCGGAUUUAUUGGGCGUAAAGCGAGCGCAGGCGGUUUCUUAAGUCUGAUGUGAAAGCCCCCGGCUCAACCGGGGAGGGUCAUUGGAAACUGGGAGACUUGAGUGCAGAAGAGGAGAGUGGAAUUCCAUGUGUAGCGGUGAAAUGCGUAGAUAUAUGGAGGAACACCAGUGGCGAAGGCGGCUCUCUGGUCUGUAACUGACGCUGAGGCUCGAAAGCGUGGGGAGCAAACAGGAUUAGAUACCCUGGUAGUCCACGCCGUAAACGAUGAGUGCUAAGUGUUGGAGGGUUUCCGCCCUUCAGUGCUGCAGCUAACGCAUUAAGCACUCCGCCUGGGGAGUACGACCGCAAGGUUGAAACUCAAAGGAAUUGACGGGGGCCCGCACAAGCGGUGGAGCAUGUGGUUUAAUUCGAAGCAACGCGAAGAACCUUACCAGGUCUUGACAUCCUUUGACCACUCUAGAGAUAGAGCUUCCCCAGACGUGUGCUCUUCCGAUGUAGCAACGCGAAGAACCUUACCAGGUCUUGACAUCCUUUGACCACUCUAGAGAUAGAGCUUCCCCUUCGGGGGCAAAGUGACAGGUGGUGCAUGGUUGUCGUCAGCUCGUGUCGUGAGAUGUUGGGUUAAGUCCCGCAACGAGCGCAACCCUUAUUGUUAGUUGCCAUCAUUCAGUUGGGCACUCUAGCAAGACUGCCGGUGACAAACCGGAGGAAGGUGGGGAUGACGUCAAAUCAUCAUGCCCCUUAUGACCUGGGCUACACACGUGCUACAAUGGGAAGUACAACGAGUUGCGAAGUCGCGAGGCUAAGCUAAUCUCUUAAAGCUUCUCUCAGUUCGGAUUGCAGGCUGCAACUCGCCUGCAUGAAGCCGGAAUCGCUAGUAAUCGCGGAUCAGCACGCCGCGGUGAAUACGUUCCCGGGCCUUGUACACACCGCCCGUCACACCACGAGAGUUUGUAACACCCGAAGUCGGUGAGGUAACCUUUUUGGAGCCAGCCGCCUAAGGUGGGAUAGAUGAUUGGGGUGAAGUCGUAACAAGGUAGCCGUAUCGGAAGGUGCGGCUGGAUCACCU